rnacentral:rRNA from 1 species
UAGUCCACGCCGUAAACGAUGGACACUAGUUGUUGGGCUUAUGCUCAGUGACUAAGCGAAAGUGAUAAGUGUCCCACCUGGGGGGUACGAUCGCAAGAUUGAAACUCAAAGGAAUUGACGGGGGCCCGCACAAGCGGUGGAGCAUGAGGUUUAAUUCGAUGAUACGCGAGGAACCUUACCUAGGCUCUAAUGCGAGCGCUACCUGGUGAAAGCCGGGGUUCCUUCGGGACGCAAAGCAAGGUGCUGCAUGGUUGUCGUCAGCUCGUGCCGUGAGGUGUUGGGUUAAGUCCCGCAACGAGCGCAACCCCUAUUGUUAGUUGCCAGCGAGUCAAGUCGGGAACUCUAGCAAGACUGCCGGUGCAAACCGUGAGGAAGGUGGGGAUGACGUCAAAUCAUCACGGCCCUUACGUCCUGGGCUACACACGUGCUACAAUGGUAGGUACAGAGAGCAGCCACUGGGCGACCAGGAGCGAAUCUAUAAAACCUAUCACAGUUCGGAUCGGAGU